ensembl:lncRNA
UAACUAUUAAGACUAGUUUUAGGUGAUUGCAUUUCAGCUGAGUAUGAUGAUGAGUUUUUGUGCAUACAGUGUAUUUGACCCAAAUGACUUAUUUUUUAAUGUCCAAUGUAAAAUUUGAAGUCAAAUUUAAAAUCCUGCAGAUCUAUGGCCAGCAGCCAACUCACUGAACCCAUGCAAAUUGUCCCUGGGCUCUAUGGCUUUUUACCAACACACUGAAACUGGAUACAGCAGGUUUAAAGAAAAAGGGGAUAAAAAAUGAUUCAAAUGUCCUCUGUGAUAAACAGAUGUCAGGAGAGGCUCUGAAGGAAUAGCCUAUAAGCAACGUUGUGUUCGGGUACAGUCUCUUUUUAUUAAUUUGAACAGGUAUAAAUUGACCGUCCUGGGACAGGUUAAUGGAAUCAUCAUUCCCUGUGUGAAAUCUAAUUAAUUAUUAGGUUGUGCAGUGUGAUUACAUGACUUGCCUCAGGUCUGAAAUCUGAUAUUUCACAUAUAUCUUGCAUAAUAUUUCAAAAGAGGAACAAAAUUUCAUUUUGCACCCAUUUGCUCUCAUUUAUUUAAAGGGGUCAUAAAAUGCAUUUUUUUUGCAUUAAAAAACUUAUUUGUAAAAAAUAUGAUUUUCCAUCCUCAUUUUCACUCAGUUUAAAGGGGCGUUUCCGCUAGCAGAAACAGAAGUAAACGCCCCCUGCUGUGAUUGGCUGACUUCAUCACACCGUAGCCACGCCCUCCUUUACAGCAUGUUGGGUGUUUUGAUGCUCGAGAUGGCAAGCGCUGUGAUAGAGCUGCUAGAACCGAGACAGAAGAAAUUAAAACAAUGCAAACAUUUGCAACCCAAAGCAACAUAGACGUAACCAACUAUAGAUUUCUAGAUGGCAGUUAAUCACUAGUUAUGCACUGUCAGUAUUUCUGAUCUGGGUUUGGGCUGAUUUUAUUAUCAGCACUCAAAUAAUGAUACGCUGGUUUGAAGUGUAUUACAAACACACUUUGAGAUUAAAAAUAAAGGUACUUACCUGUGUUUCCUCCAAGGAUUCCAUGCUCAGGACUGCUUUAUCUUUUGAUAAAAGAUAUUGUUAAAAAACAAAAACUGGCAGCAUGUUUAGAAUAAUUUACAAAGCAGUCAGUAGUGAAAUAAACAAAUAAAAACUAGCUUUCAGUCGCUCAUGUCAUUAAAAAUAAACUUCAGCGAUGCAUUUCUGGGAUCUAUACACUCUCAGAAAAAAGGUAUAAAUGCUGACACUGAGACAAUACCCUGUCAAAAGGUACACAUUUGUACUUUAUUUACUCCUAAAGGGUGCAUUUUAGUAUAAAGGUACAUAUCGAUACCUACAAUUUACCGCCCCAGUGACAGCUUUUGUACCUUUUGAGUUUUUGGAGAUGCAGUUUGAGUUUGAUGCUCUUACUGGACAUCAUUAUAGCUCUUGUGAUUGAUGGACAGACACGAGUUGUUAAGGGCGUGUCAAGGGAAAUCGUGACGUCACCAUUCUCCUGAUUUCAAAUCCUUAAAGAAGGGUAGAAAAUAAUUUAAAUUGGGUUUGUUUGAAUUCUGAAACUUGCAGUAUGUUUUUAUUGCAUUGUAACUCUCAUAUGGGUAAAUAUAAAGAACAUUUUGAUUCUGAAUUUCUGUCUGGCUAAUGGUAGACAACACACUUGCCUAUCGAUGAUUUGUUCAGGUUUGCCGCACACAAGACGAAUGCUGGAAGAAAAGAAGAUGUAAAUUCUGUGCCGUGACUGUACAUGAUGAUGAUGAUGAGCACCAGUAUCAAUCACUGGUCAUCAGAGACACAUCCAGACCCUCAGAAAUGGCAGCAUAUUGAUUUCCUGUUUUGAAAUGUCUGUGGCACUUGGUACCCUGCAAUUAUCCCCAAUUUAAAUUCGGACCUGUCAUGGCGUGCAAUGGAUGGUCCGUGUGGGAUAGUUGUAGUAAAGUGAAGCCGGUGCUGUACCUUUGAAACUUUGUUUUCAGGGAGGGGUGUCAUCCUUGGCUAGGUCAGAAAACACAUCAGAGGGCUCUGGUGCCUC